AUUGAACGCUGGCGGCAGGCCUAACACAUGCAAGUCGAGCGAGCGGCGGACGGGUGAGUAAUGUAUGGGGACUGCCCGAUAGCGGGGGAUAACUACUGGAAACGGUGGCUAAUACCGCAUACUAUCGGAUAACCCAUAUGGGAUUAGCUAGUAGGUGGGGUAAAGGCUCACCUAGGCGACGAUCUCUAGCUGGUCUGAGAGGACGAUCAGCCACACUGGGACUGAGACACGGCCCAGACUCCUACGGAGGCAGCAGUGGGGAAUAUUGCACAAUGGGCGCAAGCCUGAUCCAGCCAUGCCGCGUGUAUGAAGAAGGCCUUCGGGUUGUAAAGUACUUUCGGCGGAGAGGCGGUACCUGCAGAAGAAGCACCGGCUAACUACGUGCCAGCAGCCGCGGUAAUAC
rnacentral:rRNA from 1 species